AAAGUUACUCAAGCGCGCAUAAAGGAUGCCUUGACGUAAGACACCGAGGAAGGACGUAGUCGGCUGCGAUAAGCCGCGGGGAGCUGCCAAACAAGCUUUGAACCGUGGAUGUCCGAAUGGGGAAACCUCACUAGAGUCAUAUCUAGUGGCUACCGUCUGAAUAUAUAGGACGGAUAAGCGGUAAGCUGGGGAACUGAAACAUCUUAGUACCCAGAGGAAAGGAAAGUAAACAACGAAUCCCGUAGUAGUGGCGAGCGAACCGGGACUAGCUCAAACCUUAACCAUUUCCAUCUAUUUAUUUAGGUGGAUAAGUUGGUAGACGAAAAUGUUUAAGGGGUUGUGACAAGUAAUUAACCAGUACGGAGCCCUGAGAAUUUCUCAGAUUUCCGUACUGAUAGCAGGCUCUACCAAUGGUCUGCAUAAGGUAAAAAAUUUGCGAUGCGAGCAGAAGCUUCUGGAAAGGGGCGCCAUAGACCGUGAAAGCCGGGUAUGCCAAGUGUUGCAAACCUUAUUAUUAUUAGGCUAUAAGACUUGUCUUAUAGUGUGUCGAGUAGGACGGGGCACGUGAAAUCCUGUCUGAAACUGGGGGGUCCACCCUCCAAAGCUAAAUAUGUCUUACGAUCGAUAGUGAACAAGUACCGUGAGGGAAAGGUUAAAAGAACCCCGGAUAGGGGAGUGAAAUAGAGCCUGAAAUUAUGCGCGUACAAGGAGUCGGAGCUAGAUUUAGUCUAGUGACGGCGUGCUUUUUGUAGAACGAUCCAGCGAGUUAUUUUGCAGCGCAAGCUUAAGCCAUUUGGCGGAGGCGUAGUGAAAGCGAGCCUUAAUAGGGCGACAAGUGUUGCAAAGUAGACCCGAAACCAGGUGACCUAACCAUGGGCAGGCUGAAGCGUGGGUAAAACUACGUGGAGGGCCGAACCGUAGCGAGUUGCAAAACGCCCGGAUGACUUGUGGUUAGAGGUGAAAUGCCAAUCGAACCUGGAGAUAGCUGGUUCUCCUCGAAAUAGCUUUAGGGCUAGCGUCGUGUGGUAGCUGUGUGGGGUAGAGCUCUGUUUUGGAAUGGGGCCCGUAAGGGUAUCCACCCUUGACAAACUACGAAUACGCACAGUGGUAUCACGGCAGUUAGAACGUGGGGGCUAAGCUCCACGCUCGAAAGGGAAACAGCCCAGAUCGCCAGCUAAGGUCCCUAAAUAUACACUCAGUGGAAAACGAAGUGGGAUUUCUUCGACAAUGAGGAUGUUGGCUUAGAAGCAGCCAUUCAUUUAAAGAGUGCGUAACAGCUCACUCAUCAAGAGAUCCUGCGCGGAAAAUGUAACGGGGCUAAAGUGUAUUACCGAAGCUGCGAAUGCUGCUAUAAAUUUAUUUGUAGCAGCGUGGUAGAGGAGCGUUGAUAUUGCAUUGAAGUCAGACCGGGAGGUCUGGUGGAGCGUUAUCAAGUGAGAAUGCUGGAAUGAGUAACCACAAGAAGGGUGAGAAUCCCUUCCACCGAAAGAGCAAGGUUUCCUGGGCCAUGAUAAUCAUCCCAGGGUUAGUCGGUCCUAAGCCGAGGCGAGUAGCGUAGGCGAUGGACAACGGGUUAAUAAUCCCGUACCGGUAAUAUAUUGUUUCAAGAUGCGCGGCAUGGUAGCAGAAGCGGAUUCAUGGUUAUAUCCGUCUAACUGGUCUAACGGGCCAGGAAUGAGACACCUGAAUAAGGUGAAUUUCUGUGAGAGUACUGACUAGAAAAGUCUUGAUACUUAUGUAUGUUGCCGACCGUACCGCAAACCGACACAGGUGCUCAGGUCGAGAAGACCAAGGUGUACGAGUGAAUCUUCGUUAAGGAACUCGGCAAUACAGCGACCGUAACUUAGGGAUAAGGUCUGCCUGGGUAUGCCACAAUGUUCCAAAAACAUGAGAAAAACCUAGGUUUUUCUCAUCGCGCCGGCAAAAUGGAAUACAUUUUGUCGGGUUGCUCUCUUUCUGAGAAGAAGAGGAGCAAAAACCCAAUUUUUGGGAUGUUGUGGCAUAUCUAGGCCGCAGCUAAAGAACCCAUGCAACUGUUUACCAAAAACACAGGUCUCUGCUAACACGAAAGUGGAUGUAUAGGGGCUGACUCCUGCCCGGUGCUGGAAGGUUAAGGGGAAGGCUUUACGGCUUGAACUUAAGCCCCAGUGAACGGCGGCGGUAACUAUAACCGUCCUAAGGUAGCGAAAUUCCUUGUCAGGUAAGUUCUGACCCGCACGAAUGGAGUAAUGAUAUGGGUACUGUCUCAACGAAGAGCUCGGUGAAAGUGCAUUGACGGUAAAGAUGCCGUCUGUCCGCAGCAGGACGAAAAGACCCCGUGGAGCUUUACUACAGUUUGGCAUUGAAUCGGGUUGUAACAUGUGUAGGAUAGGUGGGAGGCUUUGAAGCCAGAGCGCUAGCUCUGGUGGAGCCAACGGUGAAAUACCACCCUUGUUACAAUCUUAUUCUUACAUUAACCGUUAUCCGGUUAGUGGACAGUGUCUGAUGGGUAGUUUAACUGGGGCGGUUGCCUCCUAAAGAGUAGCGGAGGCGUUCAAAGGUUGGCUAGAUACGGAUGGAAAUCGUAUCGGUAGUGUAUACGCAUAAGCCAGCUUGACUGUGAGGCCUACAAGCCAAGCAGGCACGAAAGUGGGAGUAAGUGAUCCGCUGUCCAAACCAUUUUUGGUUUACGAAUGUGGUAUCGGCAGCGCAAACGGAUAAAAGUUACCCCGGGGAUAACAGGCUUAUAGCGCCCAAUAGUUCACAUAGACGGCGCUGUUUGGCACCUCGAUGUCGGCUCAUCACAUCCUGGAGGAGGAGCAUCUUCCAAGGGUUCGGCUGUUCGCCGAUUAAAGUGGUACGUGAGCUGGGUUCAGAACGUCGUGAGACAGUUCGGUUUAUAUCCGCUGUGGACGUCAGGAAAUUUGAGAGGAUUUGUCGCUAGUACGAGAGGACCGCGAUGAACGCACCGCUGGUGUACCGGUUGUUCUACCAAGAGCAUCGCCGGGUAGCUAUAGUGCGGACCAGAUAAGCGCUGAAAGCAUAUUAAGCGCGAAACUGACCUCAAGAUUAGAUUUCCCCAGAGACCCCUGAAAGACUAUCAGGUUGAUAGGCGCAAGGUGUAAGUGCGGUAACGCAUUCAGCCGAAGCGUACUAAUAGGUCCAUUGACUUUUU
rnacentral:rRNA from 1 species